rnacentral:rRNA from 1 species
GACGAACGCUGGCGGCGUGCUUAACACAUGCAAGUCGAACGGAAAGGCCCUGCUUUUGUGGGGUGCUCGAGUGGCGAACGGGUGUGUAACACGUGAGUAACCUGCCCUUGUCUUUGGGAUAACUUCAGGAAACUGGGGCUAAUACCGGAUAGGAGCUCCUGCUGCAUGGUGGGCGUUGGAAAGAUUCGGCGGUUGGGGAUCGAUUAGCGGCUUAUGGGCUUGUUGGUGGGGUAGUGGCUUACGAAGGGUUAGAGGGGUAGCCGGCCUGAGAGGGGGAACGGCGACAAUGGGACUAAGGGACGGCGCAGAAGGGUAUCUGAGGCAACAGGGGGAAAUAUUGCGGAGCGGGCGGGAGUCUGAUGCAGAAGCGUCGCGAGCGGAAUGACGUGUUAUGAGGGGAAAACCGCUGUCGACUUAAAUGUGGCCUGCGUGACGGUAACGAGUAAAAAAGCCACGGCUAACUACGUG